GAGCCCGUCUGGUUCUCAAGCUGCCGGACCUCCCGCCCGCUCCCCAGGCCAGGGAAAGCUGAGGCCCGAGGAGGCAUCUAAUCGUCUGAUCGUACCUCUUAAGACCCUGAUCCCCAUCCUGGUAAGUUCAGGCAGGUUUCGUGGGGGUGCUUUUGGAACUGCCUGAGCUGCCACUGCGUGUGUUGGGUUGUUUGGAUUCUGCUAGUGGAGUUCAUCCGCAUAAGUUUUGGCUGCCUGCUAAAUGCGUUCUCUCUCAUCAGGUGUGAGAAUUGAGGAAACAAUCAGAUUUAUGUCUUGCCAAGUGAGGCUGAAUGCCUGAGUUACAGGGAGGAACGCAUUCCUCUAUUUACCAGGGUUUUCAGAGGAGGAUCCUAGCCGCUAUUUAAUCUGUGCCAAGUCAUUCAUAGAAAAGGGGACAUGGACAUGGACUGUUGCCUCAAUGCCUGCCACUUGUUGGAGUGGAAGGAUUGCGGGAGGGCAGGGGCCGCCCGAGAGUGGGUAACCAGCAGGGAGGGCAAGGAAGAGGGGCAGAAGUUGAGUUGCUCCCAGGGCUACAUGUGCAGCCAGAGAUGACGCUGGCUCAAGAGGAGCAGGAGGAGGAAGCCUGUACGGCAGAGGCUCAUCUGCUGGUCAAGGUCUGAGUCUAAGGAGUUAAGAGUAGAUUUUUUUCUCCAGCAGGAGUAACUGGUGGACAGAGCAAGUUUGCAGAGAGAGAGAGAGUCAGAGAGAGACAGACUCAGACAGAGAGCGUGACUGCAGAGGUGUAAGUGGAGACCGAAGAAAUCUUGGGCAUAAGGGGCCUCCUGUCACUUGCUACUUCCCUGUAGGUAGUCACCAAGAUCGCAAAGAAUCUGGAAAUUAAAUGUGUCAAAUUUAGGCCAUUGGCUGAAUAAAAUGAGAUGUUUAGGUCGAAUAUCCCCUUGUAAACCGAGGGGCUGAAAGAAUUUUUAGAAGGCAACCCCAAGGGGUGUCUGCUGUCCCGCACCAGUCUCACUGGAAAUCCGCGGCCGAGCCCGGCCCUGCGAGAAACCCCAGAGUCUGAGAUUCUCUACGUGACCUGACCAUGUCAGAGAAGGUUGUUCUGGGAGACUGGGUAGGUGCAGACAUUUGGGAGCCCAUAGUAACUGGUAAGAGAGUGGCUGGGAGUCCGUACCCUGAGUUGGGGCAUACCCCGGGCAGGAC
rnacentral:lncRNA from 1 species